rnacentral:ncRNA from 1 species
UCAUUAAAUCAGUUAUCGUUUAUUUGAUAGUACCUUACUACUUGGAUAACCGUGGUAAUUCUAGAGCUAAUACAUGCUAAAAGCCCCGACUUCGGAAGGGGUGUAUUUAUUAGAUAAAAACCAAUGCCCUCCGGGGCUCCUUGGUGAUUCAUAAUAACUUAACGAAUCGCAUGGCCUUGUGCCGGCGAUGGUUCAUUCAAAUUUCUGCCCUAUCAACUUUCGAUGGUAGUAUAUGGGACUACCAUGGUUUCAACGGGUAACGGGGAAUUAGGGUUCUAUUCCGGAGAGGGAGCCUGAGAAACGGCUACCACAUCCAAGGAAGGCAGCAGGCGCGCAAAUUACCCAAUCCCGACACGGGGAGGUAGUGACAAUAAAUACUGAUACAGGGCUCUUUUGGGUCUUGUAAUUGGAAUGAGUACAAUUUAAAUCCCUUAAGAGGAACAAUUGGAGGGCAAGUCUGGUGCCAGCAGCCGCGGUAAUUCCAGCUCCAAUAGCGUAUAUUAAAGUUGUUGCAGUUAAAAAGCUCGUAGUUGAACCUUGGGCCUGGCUGGCCGGUCCGCCUCACCGCGUGCACUGGUUCGGCCGGGUCUUUCCUCCUGGGGAGCCACAUGCCCUUCACUGGGUGUGUUGGGGAACCAGGACUUUUACUUUGAAAAAAUUAGAGUGUUCAAAGCAGGCCUAUGCUCGAAUACAUUAGCAUGGAAUAAUAGAAUAGGACGUGUGGUUCUAUUUUGUUGGUUUCUAGGACCGCCGUAAUGAUUAAUAGGGAUAGUCGGGGGCAUCAGUAUUCAAUUGUCAGAGGUGAAAUUCUUGGAUUUAUUGAAGACUAACUACUGCGAAAGCAUUUGCCAAGGAUGUUUUCAUUAAUCAGUGAACGAAAGUUAGGGGAUCGAAGACGAUCAGAUACCGUCGUAGUCUUAACCAUAAACUAUGCCGACUAGGGAUCGGGCGAUGUUAUUUUUUUGACUCGCUCGGCACCUUACGAGAAAUCAAAGUCUCUGGGUU